rnacentral:rRNA from 1 species
UUUCCUACGGGAGGCAGCAGUGGGGAAUCUUCGGCAAUGGGCGCAAGCCUGACCGAGCCAUGCCGCGUGAGCGAUGAAGGCCUUAGGGUUGUAAAGCUCUUUCUCCUAGGGAGGAUAGUUGCAUACCUGGAAAGAACCCCGCAAUGCGG